CAUAAGCACGCCUGCCGCGAAACUCUAGCCAGUCUGCUUCUGGGUUUACGGUGCGGUGCACACACACACACGGACAGGAGAGGGAGAGAGAGAAAGAGUGCGCGCACGGAGUAACGAAACCACCCACUCACCAAGACUCUCGCAGUACUCGUGCCAGCAACGACAACGAUGGAGACUUCGCAACAGGUCGUGAAGACCAGCUAUAGCUACAGCAGCGGCGGCGGCGGCGGCGCCAGCAGCAGCAACGUCGCCUUCAUCGAUAUUCCCGACGCUAGCAGAUUCCAGGAUAAGAUCAGAGCGCUCGAGGAUGACUUGGACCUGGAGAGAGAGAUCAGGAGCAGGAUUGUGAGGCA